rnacentral:rRNA from 1 species
AGUGAACGCUGGCGGUAGGCCUAACACAUGCAAGUCGAACGGCAGCACAGUAAGAGCUUGCUCUUACGGGUGGCGAGUGGCGGACGGGUGAGGAAUACAUCGGAAUCUACUUUUUCGUGGGGGAUAACGUAGGGAAACUUACGCUAAUACCGCAUACGACCUACGGGUGAAAGCAGGGGAUCUUCGGACCUUGCGCGAUUGAAUGAGCCGAUGUCGGAUUAGCUAGUUAGCGGGGUAAAGGCCCACCAAGGCGACGAUCCGUAGCUGGUCUGAGAGGAUGAUCAGCCACACUGGAACUGAGACACGGUCCAGACUCCUACGGGAGGCAGCAGUGGGGAAUAUUGGACAAUGGGCGCAAGCCUGAUCCAGCCAUACCGCGUGGGUGAAGAAGGCCUUCGGGUUGUAAAGCCCUUUUGUUGGGAAAGAAAAGCAGCAGGUUAAGACCCCGCUGUUCUGACGGUACCCAAAGAAUAAGCACCGGCUAACUUCGU